UACAGAGGUGGCAAGCGUUGUUCGGAAUUACUGGGCGUAAAGAGCGCGCAGGCGGUCGUUCAAGUCGCGUGUGAAAGCCCCCGGCUCAACUGGGGAGGGUCACGCGAUACUGAUCGACUCGAAGGCAGGAGAGGGAAGUGGAAUUCCCGGUGUAGUGGUGAAAUGCGUAGAUAUCUGGAGGAACACCGGUGGCGAAGGCGGCAUCCUGGACCGACACUGACGCUGAGGAGCGAAAGCCAGGGGAGCAAACGGG
rnacentral:rRNA from 1 species